GGAAGAGACAGACAGGCUUUUAGAGAUGUGGCCUUUCCAUGUUGUACAGGCUGGUCUUGGACUCCUGGACUCAAAUGAUUCAACUGCCUUGGCCUCCUAAACUGUUGGGAAUACAGGCAUGAGCCACUGCGCCUGGCCCUAACAAAAAUUUUCAAAAAGGAUAUCAAAGAAUCUACUUGACCUGCAAUUGACAUAAAUGCCUCCUGAUAUGGUUUGUCUGUGUCCUGGCCCAAAUCUCAUCCUGAAUUGUAGCUCUCAUAAUUCCUACUUGUUGCGGCAGGGACCUGGUGGGAGGUGAUUGAAUCAUGAGGGUGGGUCUUUCUCAUGCUGUUCUUGUGAUAGCGAGUAAGUCUCACUAUAUCUGAUGGUUUUAUAAAGGGGAAUCCCCUCACACAAGCUCUCUUGCCUGACACCAUGCAAGACGUGACUUUGCUCCUCCUUUGCCUUUCACCAUGACUGUGAGGCCUCCCCAGCCACAUGAAACUGUGAGUCAAUUAAAUCUCUUUUCUUUGUAAAUUACUCAGUCUUGAGUAUGUCUUAAUAGCAGCAUGAGAACAGAAUAAUACACCUCCUAAAACAAACUUCAAUAUCCUUUAACAUAAUAGAACAAAAUCCAGUCAACAACGUAAUGUUCACCAUGUCUGUGUCUGGCACUUAAUAAUAAUAAUAAUAAAAUGCUACACAUGUGAAGUAGCAACAUUUU
rnacentral:lncRNA from 1 species